AAAGUGUUCCGUGGUGAUUUGGCCGGCCGGCUUGCAGCCACGUUAAAGAAUUCGCUAAAAUAAGGCCGCGGUUCGUUACCG
rnacentral:ncRNA from 2 species